AUUCAACUGUGAUCAAUUGAUAUUCUUAAAAAAGCUAGUGUUGUUGAUCACAUUACACUUGGAAAACGAUUGUAACUAGAAAUUGACAAAAUAUAAAUAAUCCAAUAAAACAAAAUUAUGAUACUACAUAGGACUAACUGAAACCUAGAUGUCUGAAUAAAUUUACAAGAUCUAUGCGUCAAUACACGACGUUCUUUCCAGUUGGAGAUAGAUGAUCCUUGUAAUGCAGGCUUUUAAUCACAUGCCCCAAACACCACGUGCUGCUGUGAAUUUGUUGUUUGGUCUAGAUGUCAGCUCAUACAAGAUCCUUCCAAAUGUAUCAGAAUAUCUGCUAUCUGAGAAGAGAAUAUCUGCAAAUGCAUUCUCAUAAGCAAGCAGCAAGGCCCUGUUCUGGGGCUCAGAGACCAGGCUCUCCAGUAUCAUUGCUGCUUUCCUGCAAACUUCUGGCAGUGGAUGUGGUGUCUUGAUCACCUUCAGUAGCCGAUCAACAGCCCAUCGCUUGCUAGCAAGCUUCAAUCUGCAAUCCAUAUUAACUUCUGCAAGGUUAUAGAGUGCACCAACAGCUGCUGCUUGUGCAUCUAAUGCCUGUAUGCUCAUAAGAUCUACCAAACGCUUAUGUAUCUGCAUUAUACAAUUUCAUGCAAAUUAGAUAUAUGAAAAAAACAAUGUCAGUUGAGCAAUAUCAACCUGAGGAACAAAGGGAAGAAGGAACAGUUCAUUGUCAGGAUUUAUUAUCAUCCGCCCCAGUAAUUCUGCAGCAGCACAGUGCCAAGCUUCAAUGGUAGAACCCAGCAUCCCCAUGAUAGCCUGGACUGCACGUUUCUCUGUUAUUUUGAUGUAAGAUGGCUUUGCUGAGCUGAAAAUUCGAAGAUCAAGCAAUGAAUUUACUAUUGUCUCAAGGGCAUUUGUAACAAGUUCCUCAUCCUCAGUAAUAUGAUCUUCUAUGCACUGGAAUACAGUUUCCAAGCAAUGCCGAUGUUGGGCCAUAAUGACUUCAUUCUCUGGCAUGAAAGAGAAAUUGCGUAUGAUAUUUGAAGCAGCCACUGCACACUGCUGCUUUUCCGCUCGCCCCUCUUCAUCUAAAUUAAAUAGCCCAUCCUCAUCAAACCACCACUCCGAAGGACGAACUUUGGCUGCAUUCUUCUGCCCUGGAACUUCAGUUACAGAAGAACCUGACCCCAAUACAGAAUGGGUGGUGAGAUUGUUGCUUGAUCCUAAUGCCUUGUAUCCGUUACCAAAUCCUGUAACCAUAGAAUUAGCACCUAAUGUUCUAACCCUAUGAGUCCUGAUGAGAUCUGCAGGAAGUGCUAUAUCGCGCCAGUCAUCUAUAACUUGGAGAAGAGCAUCGAGCAAGCCAGGGAUUUUAGCCAGAGAAUCUUUUCGCAUGUCUUCCUUUUCUUUGAAAGAGAGCAUUGUAAGAGUGUCCAAUGCCCAUAUCAAUUCGCUCUUUAACCCACUUUGAAGAGCCAAAACUAUUCUCUUAUUAUUUUGAUCUGAAGACAAAAAUAUCACAUAACAGUGAUUGUUAGUUAACACAGAAGUGGACUCAAAUGGCUGCGUAGGUUCUGUUAUUUGAUAGACCAGCCUACAAAGGAGGUGUGAACUUGAAGCGAUGGGCCAAGGAGAUUGGACGGAGCCACGGUGUGGCCGCCGGAGGACGCGGAGGCGACGUUGCUGCUUGUGCUGCCAAAUGGGCGUCCCCUCUUGGCCGCUUGCGCGGUCGCGCCACCAGCCGAGCCAGCAGACUUGCUCUGGUCCCCCUUCUGCAUUAGAGUCCGGUAGGCCUUGCUUGGCUGUGCCGCUGUGGCGAUUUGGUAAUUACGGAUGUCCUUUAGGUAUUUUGCGACCCGGAUCCGAGAAGACCCCAUACGGCAUACGCCAUAUUUAAAUGGCCUGGGCUCUGGACUUUAUGCGUUGUUGUAACUGAUCCACCCGACCGGACUAUUAUUGAUUUUGGAAUUAAAG
rnacentral:misc_RNA from 1 species